AUGGUUCAAACAAAGGAACACACAUCUUUCCAGUUGGUAUAUCGCCUCAUUGAGUUGGCGUUGAUUCUUCCUAUGGCAACUGCACCAGUUAAGUGAAUAUUUUCGGCAAUGAAGAUCAUCAAGACAGAUUUGCGUAAUGAGGUAUCAAAUGAAUGGCUAAAUAGAUUAAUGGUGUGCUACUUUGAGAAAGAGAUAUUUAGAAGCAUUCAUGAUGAUCAAAUCAUGAUACAAUUCCAGAAAUUAAGGCGUGAAGGACAUUUGCCUCAUGAGUUCAAUGUUAUUUCUUAG
rnacentral:rRNA from 1 species